rnacentral:rRNA from 1 species
GUGAAGCGGCAACAGCUCAAAUUUGAAAUCUGGCCCUCGGGUCCGAGUUGUAAUUUGUAGAGGAUGCUUUUGGUGCGGUACCUUCCGAGUUCCCUGGAACGGGACGCCAUAGAGGGUGAGAGCCCCGUCUGGUUGGAUACCAAUCCUCUGUAAAGCUCCUUCGACGAGUCGAGUAGUUUGGGAAUGCUGCUCUAAAUGGGAGGUAUAUGUCUUCUAAAGCUAAAUACCGGCCAGAGACCGAUAGCGCACAAGUAGAGUGAUCGAAAGAUGAAAAGCACUUUGAAAAGAGGGUUAAACAGUACGUGAAAUUGUUGAAAGGGAAGCGCUUGUGACCAGACUUGGGCAUGGUUAAUCAUCCAGCGUUCUCGCUGGUGCACUUGGCCUGCCCAGGCCAGCAUCAGUUCGGUGCGGGGGAUAAAGGCUUCGGGAAUGUGGCUCCUCCGGGAGUGUUAUAGCCCGUUGUGCAAUACCCUGCGCUGGACUGAGGUUCGCGCAUCUGCAUGGAUGCUGGCGUAAUGGUCAUCAGCGACCCGUCUUGAAACACGGACCAAGGAGUCGUCCUCGUAUGCGAGUGUUCGGGUGUUAAACCCCUACGCGUAAUGAAAGUGAACGCAGGUGAGAGCUUCGGCGCAUCAUCGACCGAUCCUGAUGUUCUCGGAUGGAUUUGAGUAAGAGCAUACGGGGCCGGACCCGAAAGAAGGUGAACUAUGCCUGUAUAGGGUGAAGCCAGAGGAAACUCUGGUGGAGGCUCGCAGCGGUUCUGACGUGCAAAUCGAUCGUCAAAUAU